UAGAGUUUGAUCAUGGCUCAGAUUGAACGCUGGCGGCAGGCCUAACACAUGCAAGUCGAGCGGCAGCACGAGAAAGCUUGCUUUCUUGGUGGCGAGCGGCGGACGGGUGAGUAAUACAUGGGAAUCUGCCCGAUAGUGGGGGACAACGUUUCGAAAGGAACGCUAAUACCGCAUACGUCCUACGGGAGAAAGCAGGCUUAGGCUUGCGCUAUCGGAUGAGCCCAUGUCGGAUUAGCUUGUUGGUGAGGUAAUGGCUCACCAAGGCGACGAUCCGUAACUGGUCUGAGAGGAUGAUCAGUCACACCGGAACUGAGACACGGUCCGGACUCCUACGGGAGGCAGCAGUGGGGAAUAUUGGACAAUGGGGGCAACCCUGAUCCAGCCAUGCCGCGUGUGUGAAGAAGGCCUUCGGGUUGUAAAGCACUUUCAGCGAGGAGGAAAGCAGUAAGGUUAAUACCCUUAUUGUGUGACGUAC
rnacentral:rRNA from 1 species